AUAUUUACCUGGGAGAGGUAAAUCGAUGAUCAAGAAGGACAAUGUCCUAGAGAGGCCACCUCCAUUGCACUUGGAGGGUACUUUUUCUAGCAUUUCUCACUGAGGAGAGUGCACAACAUAAUUUAAGGUUGCACAUGCUUUUUAUUUGUUGUAGUUGGUU
rnacentral:snRNA from 1 species